ensembl:misc_RNA Y_RNA Y RNA
GGUUGGUCUGAUGGCAGUGGGUUAUCAGAACUUAUUAACAUUAGUGUCACUAAAGUUGGUAUACCACCCCCCCACUGCUAAAUUUGACUGGCUUUAA